rnacentral:lncRNA from 1 species
CUUUUGCAUCUGGGCAAUCUCUGGUGGAGUGACCCUUCUCCUCUCCAUGGAAGAAACAAUACUGUUUCCGUGGUCGCUGACUUUGAUUUUUUCGCCAUCCCGCAUUUCGACCCCCUCUUCCGGCUUGAUUGGGUAUGCGUUCCGAGCUUCGCGCUUCCGCUGGUGGACGGUUAUUUUCCGGCCUGUCAAUUUUCGGUUGCUCGAUAUUCAUCAUCUGUCCACCAGCCUCUCGCUGUGGCCGGCGUUCAUCCUGUCUGAGGUUCUUCUUCUGUGAGUUUCUAUCA